rnacentral:rRNA from 1 species
GACGAACGCUGGCGGCGUGCCUAAUACAUGCAAGUAGAACGCUGAAGGAGGAGCUUGUUUCUCUGGAUGAGUUGCGAACGGGUGAGUAACGCGUAGGUAACCUGCCUGGUAGCGGGGGAUAACUAUUGGAAACGAUAGCUAAUACCGCAUAAGAGUAGAUGUUGCAUGACAUUUGCUUAAAAGGUGCAAUUGCAUCACUACCAGAUGGACCUGCGUUGUAUUAGCUAGUUGGUGGGGUAACGGCUCACCAAGGCGACGAUACAUAGCCGACCUGAGAGGGUGAUCGGCCACACUGGGACUGAGACACGGCCCAGACUCCUACGGGAGGCAGCAGUAGGGAAUCUUCGGCAAUGGACGGAAGUCUGACCGAGCAACGCCGCGUGAGUGAAGAAGGUUUUCGGAUCGUAAAGCUCUGUUGUAAGAGAAGAACGAGUGUGAGAGUGGAAAGUUCACACUGUGACGGUAUCU